rnacentral:rRNA from 1 species
UGGGGAAUAUUGGACAAUGGGGGCAACCCUGAUCCAGCCAUGCCGCGUGAGUGAUGAAGGCCCUAGGGUUGUAAAGCUCUUUCAUCGGUGAAGAUAAUGACGGUAGCCGAAGAAGAAGCCCCGGCUAAUUUCGUGCCAGCAGCCGCGGUAAUACGAAAGGGGUAAGCGUUGUUCGGAAUUACUGGGCGUAAAGCGCGCGUAGGCGGUUUGUUAAGUUAGGGGUGAAAUCCCGGGGCUCAACCUCGGAAUUGCCUCUAAAACUGGCAGGCUUGAGUUCGAGAGAGGUGAGUGGAAUUCCCAGUGUAGAGGUGAAAUUCGUAGAUAUUGGGAAGAACACCGGUGGCGAAGGCGGCUCACUGGCUCGAUACUGACGCUGAGGCGCGAAAGCGUGGGGAGCAAACAGGAUUAGAUACCCCCGUAGUCC